AGAGUUUGAUCAUGGCUCAGGAUGAACGCUAGCUACAGGCUUAACACAUGCAAGUCGAGGGGCAGCAUCAUCAAAGCUUGCUUUGAUGGAUGGCGACCGGCGCACGGGUGAGUAACACGUAUCCAACCUGCCGACAACACUGGGAUAGCCUUUCGAAAGAAAGAUUAAUACCGGAUGGCAUAGUUUUCCCGCAUGGGAUAAUUAUUAAAGAAUUUCGGUUGUCGAUGGGGAUGCGUUCCAUUAGGCAGUUGGCGGGGUAACGGCCCACCAAACCUACGAUGGAUAGGGGUUCUGAGAGGAAGGUCCCCCACAUUGGAACUGAGACACGGUCCAAACUCCUACGGGAGGCAGCAGUGAGGAAUAUUGGUCAAUGGACGAGAGUCUGAACCAGCCAAGUAGCGUGAAGGAUGACUGCCCUAUGGGUUGUAAACUUCUUUUAUACGGGAAUAAAGUGAGCCACGUGUGGCUUUUUGUAUGUACCGUAUGAAUAAGGAUCGGCUAACUCCGUGCCAGCAGCCGCGGUAAUACGGAGGAUUCGAGCGUUAUCCGGAUUUAUUGGGUUUAAAGGGAGCGUAGGCGGGUUGUUAA
rnacentral:rRNA from 1 species